rnacentral:tRNA from 1 species
UGGGAUGUAGCUCAGUUGGUAGAGUGCUUGCUUAAUAUGCAUGAAGCCCUGGGUUCAAUUCCCAGUACCGUAU